CUUGGAGUUGGUUAAGUUUCGAAAAUCUCCUCUUUUUGAGUUAGUGACUGAUUAGGCUUUAAUAUCUUGUUUCCAAGUGUGGUUUGGGAGAAUGGUGGUCGCUGGACAGCUCAUUGAAGGUUGAGGAUUACUUUGGAGCUGUUAAGGUGAAGAAUCUACCUUGGGCUGAACCUACAGAGAACUCAGAGUAAUUUUUGGGUUGAAGUGGAAGUUGGGGAUUUCUGACUGUCUUGGAGCUCUACUGGGAAAGAACAAGUUGCAGAGAAAGAAGGAGUUUAUAGGGAUUUAUGUAGAUAUUAUGAGUUCAUCCACACCUAGCACCAUAGCUCCAACUACUUUUCAAUGUUAGGAGGAAUUUAAUUUGGGUUGUAAUGUAUAUUUGGUUGAAUUUGGGUUGUAUUUGGCUAGUAAUUUAUUUUGGAACUUAUUUUGUUGAAGUUUGAUUUAAUUUGGGUUGUAAUUUAUAUGUUGAAGUUGGAUUGAA